rnacentral:lncRNA from 1 species
AUGUUUGGGCACCUAAUUCUUCCUUUUUAUUGUGUAUGGUCCAGCGCGGGAUUCCCCAGCUGGCAGCUGGCUCCAUUUGUGAAUCAAACCCUAAACAUGCACCCGUUGCAUCAAAUGCAAUUCCUGCUUUUUUUUUCAUUUUCACACACAAAGCAAAUAUCUGCAGUACCUGGACACAGGCUGAAGCACAAGAAAUGCAGAAGGAAACUGAAGGAACAGAGUGGGAAAAGGAAAGCACGCUGCACUAGAUUGCACUUUCUUUGCAGACAUUGAAGACUGGCAUAGUCAGUGAAUAAUAUGCAACAGGAAUCAUGAGAGAAUGCAGAGCCUCAUGGUCUGGGUCAGCUUGCUGACACCUCCUGCUGAAAUACACACUUCAUAGGAGCUCCACAUGGACCCCCAGAGGAGAAAACGUAGCCUAAUACAGCCCGAGUUAAUAGCCAACACUUCCAGCUCUCCAGAACAGAGCACCUAUAGGAGCCUAUAAUACAGACUCACUGGGCAUUACAAUGUGCAGGGGUCACAGCCAGCAAGGAGCCGGGGCCAGCAUGGGCACGACAGUGCAGCGCCUAAUAUUUAGAUCCCUCUAAGCCAAAGCUGGUGAGGGAUCCAGGUGUCUCGGGUGGGGUUUAGGUCCAGAGACCUGACUUGAGAGCCAAGGUCUCUGCAGAGCCUUGCUCCCUCUGCCCCGGCCAGGCGCAAGCGGGGCCACAUGCCCACCGCAGCACAGUGCUACCAGGAGCAGCGGCCCCUUCUCCGGGAGGGUCCUCAUUGGACAGACCCAGCAGAGAGGGACAAGGUCAGCCAGGGUGUCCGCUCAUCUGGCUGGCAUGUUUUAGAUGUCUCUCCCCUUCGCUGCCCCUCAUUUUGGUAAUGCCUACGGGCCAUGCCAAGACCCCAGAGCUGGACAUGGCAACAUCGGCUGCUGUGAUGCCCAAGCUGCCCACAGGAGCCUGACUCCCAGAGACCCGAAUCACCUGCAGCUCUUGAGGAUUUCCAUGUGGGAUGAGACACCCAAGCUGGGGCAGUUCCAGCCACCUAGCUCCGCUGCAGCUCCUGCCACCCCUUUGCCGGCCAUUUAAGUUGCCGGCCAGGUAACUUUCAAAGUGCAGCCAACGUUCAGGCCCAUUUGCAAGCAGCCAAUGGUUUGGCUCAGGUGCCCUCAGAAGUGUUUCUGGGUGCCCUUCAAGCUCAAGUAAAUAAAAGUAUAAUAGCUUCAACA